AUGGUGGAAGGAGAGCAGUGGGGGUUGGCACGGUUUCUUUUGGCAGGAGAUGAGAAAUGCAGACUCCUGGGCACUCUACAUGUACCCUUCCACAUCAUUUGGCUUUCCUUCACCCUACCCUGGCAUCUGCUUUCUAGCCUUUGGAAAAGUACACAUGUGGAAAGCACCAUCAACCAAUUCUCUUUUGUAGUUCUUCACAUUUCCAGGACUUCAAGAAACCUUGAACCACCAUCUCCUUCUCUCAGGAAAAAUCACCUCCGAGAACAACAUAAAUCAGCUGUUAAUUUUCAACAGAUUCCGAACCAGGAUUUGGAAAGAACCCCCAAAGAACAAUCUUACCUGGGGGAGAAAGGGAAUGAAUUGCACUGAGGUAAAAAUUCUUAAAGUAGAAAAAGGUUCAUAAAUGCCUCUCCAAGAUGUCCAUAAAGAAGGAACAAAAGAGAAACCAUUUCAGUGAACUAUCAUCUGUGAUGCUGGCACAGCAAAGUCUCCUGGGCUUCUCAGACCUGCUCCUCUCUCCUGGUUUGCAGAGCUUUGUUUGUUUGUUUGUUUGUUUGUUUGUUUUUGAGUCUUUCCCUCAGGGCUUAUGCUCCACUGACCUAUAAAUGUUCACUGUAAUUAUAUUGAUUUCCCCCUCCUGCUUUGUUCACCACCUUCUCUCUAUUUUUUACGUUGUCUUCAUAACAGCAUUCUUUACACUGAAAACAAGUAAAAUAUAUAGUAAAACCAACCAAACAUAGUUAAGGUAUUUGAAACAACUCUAAGAAUAACAUCUUAAAAGUUACUGAACCACUUAUUUAUUGUGUGGGGGGAAAAUGUUGAUGAUGUCAAUUCUGGUCCUAUGUCACUUUUCUUAGCUGGGAAAACCAACAAGGAAUGAAAGAACUGGAUGGGUAGAAGCGAAUCAUCAUUGGAGAGGCUGGAUCAGACAGAGGCAGCACUGCUCUCCCAGAGCCUGGAGGAGAAAUCCUGGGGGGACUAUGGAUGGUUCCUAGAGGGACACAUGUAGUCCUCUCCUACUCCCCUGGUCCACUCCGCAGAGCUCCUGUGUGUCUGAGACCUAGUCUCCCCAGCUCCCACACUAGGUCUCACAUCCUGGGGGUCUGUGAAGAUGAGAGGAGACCAUGUGAGGCCAUAUGCAGUGCUCUAAGAAUGUUUGCUGUUAGAAUUAGCUAGUGAAAUCACAGAGGCUAAAGUCAAAGGUCAACCUGCUUUUAUCAUCGAAUAUUGAUUAAGCACUCACAAUUCAAAAAGCAGUGCCUUCAAAAUCUUACAGAGCUUUCGUUUUCUCUGAAAUAUGUCACAGAAGAACCUCUGUAUGUGAAGAUAAUAGAGACAAGUUGAUUGAUUUCUGUGGCCAUAGAGGAAUAAGAAAAAUUACAUUUUAGAGGUUAAAAUAGAGAUAUUGGGUGCAUCCUUUCAUUUGGGGCCCCAAAGCUGGUCCUACUGAAAGAAGCCAGGGUGGGCAAGAUCACUCAUAAACAUUAAAAAAGUGUGACAUAAAUAUUAUAGCAGAAAUCAGCCAAUCUAAUCCAUCUUCCACAGAAGGGGAACUUUCCUCAGGUCAUACAAUGGGACAUCAUGCUUCUAUUUCCAUGUAAUUCUCUGGUUCAGAAGCUGGUGUUAUGAGUUGGACUGUAUCCCCUCAAAAAUAACAUCAUUAAAGUUGUCCUUAAUCCAAUACAAUUGGUGUCCUUAUAAGAAGGGAUUAGAACAGAGAGAAAAGACAACCAUUUACAAAUCAAGAGAAAGGCCUGGAACAGAUCCUUUCUCAGUACCUUCAGAGGAAGCAUGCCCCUGCUGACACUUUGAUUUCAGACUUCUGGUCUCCAGAGCUGUGAGACAAUGAAUGCUUGUUGUUCCAAGCCACCCAUUUCAUGAUACUUUGUUAGGGUACCCCCAGGAAACUAAUACAGCUGGCAAUCAGAAUAUCACUCAAAUAACAGAGAAGGAAGGAGGGUUUGCUUUCACUGGAGGAAGUUUUAGAUCAUAGGAGUCACUUAAUCUCUUAAGUUUGAAAAAUAAGUCCACUUCAAAUAUUGCCUGUAGUGCAAAGGUCCAUAGAAAUCCAAUUAUACAAAUUUACAGUCCAGACAAGGGAAAGAAAUCAAAUUACUAUUCAUGGAAAUUUAAGCAGAGUUUAUGAUUGGAAAAAUAAAUAGGGCUAUACCAACUGUGGAGCA
rnacentral:lncRNA from 1 species